rnacentral:rRNA from 1 species
GACGAACCGAGCAAACGUUAUUCGGAAUCACUGGGCUUAAAGGGCGCGUAGGCGGGCCAUCAAGUCUGUGGUGAAAUCCUCCAGCUUAACUGGAGAACGGCCGCGGAUACUGGUGGUCUCGAGGAAGGUAGGGGCAUCUGGAACUGGUGGUGGAGCGGUGAAAUGCGUUGAUAUCAUCAGGAACUCCGGUGGCGAAGGCGAGAUGCUGGACCUUUUCUGACGCUGAGGCGCGAAAGCCAGGGGAGCGAAUGGG